GAUGAAGAACGCAGCGAAAUGCGAUAAGUAAUGUGAAUUGCAGAUUUCAGUGAAUCAUCGAAUCUUUGAACGCACAUUGCGCCCGCCAGUAUUCUGGCGGGCAUGCCUGUUCGAGCGUCAUUACAACCCUCAGGCCCCCGGGCCUGGCGUUGGGGAUCGGCGGAAGCCCCCUGCGGGCACAACGCCGUCCCCCAAAUACAGUGGCGGUCCCGCCGCAGCUUCCAUUGCGUAGUAGCUAACACCUCGCAACUGGAGAGCGGCGCGGCCACGCCGUAAAACACCCAACUUCUGAAUGUUGACCUCGAAUCAGGUAGGAAUACCCGCUGAACUUAAGCAUAUCAAUAAGCGGAGGA
rnacentral:misc_RNA from 1 species